rnacentral:rRNA from 1 species
GACGAACGCUGGCGGCGUGCUUAACACAUGCAAGUCGAACGGAAAGGCCCUGCUUUUGUGGGGUGCUCGAGUGGCGAACGGGUGAGUAACACGUGAGUAACCUGCCCUUGACUUUGGGAUAACUUCAGGAAACUGGGGCUAAUACCGGAUAGGAGCUCCUGCUGCAUGGUGGGGGUUGGAAAGUUUCGGCGGUUGGGGAUGGACUCGCGGCUUAUCAGCUUGUUGGUGGGGUAGUGGCUUACCAAGGCUUUGACGGGUAGCCGGCCUGAGAGGGUGACCGGCCACAUUGGGACUGAAAUACGGCCCAGACUCCUACGGGAGGCAACAGUGGGGAAUAUUGCACAAUGGGCGGAAGCCUGAUGCAGCAGCGCCGCGUGCGGGAUGACGGCCUUCGGGUUGUAAACCGCUUUCGCCUGUGACGAAGCGCGAGUGACGGUAAUGGGUAAAGAAGCACCGGCUAACUACGUG